GAUUGAAGUCAGUCAUACCAACGGGAAAUCAACCUUUUGAGUAUAAUUUUGGGAUGUUAAAGAGUUUAAAAGCCUUUGAUGUUUCAUAUAUUUUGCUUUUUUGGUGUACUUUCUUGUAACGGUAGGUUAACAUCGAUUUUGAAUAUUAUAAAAUGACUGGAGGAAUGAGGCUUCGAUCUUGUAUUGAAGUGUUAUAGCCUUUAGUAAAUGUAAUGAUCAAGAUCGAGGAUUGCAACGAAUAUCCUUUUUGGGCUAUCCGUUUGAUCUUUGAUACGUUGCCUUGGUACUUGAAAGCUUGCUUAUGGUAUUAAGGUAUU
rnacentral:rRNA from 1 species